GCCUCGGUAGCUCAGUCGGUAGAGCAGAGGACUGAAAAUCCUCGUGUCGGCGGUUCGAUUCCGCCCUGAGGCA
rfam:Desulfitobacterium hafniense Y51 DNA, complete genome.